rnacentral:tRNA from 1 species
GAAGGGAUUAGCUCGGUAGUAGAGCAUGUGCUUAGCAUGCUCAAGGCCCUGGGUUCAAUCUCCAGUACUUCCA